UACAGAGGUCCCAAGCGUUGUUCGGAUUCACUGGGCGUAAAGGGUGCGUAGGCGGUCAGGUAAGUCCGACGUGAAAUCUCCAAGCUCAACUUGGAAAUGGCGUUGGAUACUAUUUGGCUUGAGGAACGGAGGGGAGACUGGAAUUCUCGGUGUAGCAGUGAAAUGCGUAGAUAUCGAGAGGAACACCAGUGGCGAAGGCGAGUCUCUGGACGUUUCCUGACGCUGAGGCACGAAAGCCAGGGGAGCAAACGGG
rnacentral:rRNA from 1 species